CAUUGUGUUACCAAAGAUCACCUCUUUCCUAUCAUCUUCCUUCUGAGAUGCAUGUAGAGCUAGAUUGGAAGCUGUGUUUUGAUCCUGAAGAUUCAAGAUAAGAAAGCAUUGCUCAAAUUCUGGAUGAAGCAGCUACUGAAGUAAUCUCCUGUGAUGUUUUUUCCUCCAGGAAUCCUUGCCUAUUUGCUCAGAAUCUCCUUACGACGUUCAUCUGCUCCUUUCCUUCCUGAGUUCCCAACUCACUCCCAUCGGCACCAGGAAGGGACAAAGUGAGGCACAUGGGGUCAGAAGGAGGUGGCUGUGACUUCACAGGACCUGACUGAUCCCUGACGCUGAGGAGCCCCCACCCGGCAUUUCAUUUCAGAGCCAUUUCUGCGGGUUAAUGAAGAGAAAAGGAACAUCAUGGCUAAGGGAGCAGGGAAGGUACAGAGAACUCCCAAAGCAAUAGGGGCUGUUAAUGUAAGCUGUUCAUGUGUCUAACCCCCGUUCUGGAACAUCAACUCUCUGUGCACAGAGAUGUGCCGAUUUCAUUCUUAUAUUCCUGGUGCCCAGCAGUACAGGUGCUUAAAAAGGUUAAUUUUUCUGAUUAUAUGCAACGCACUGCAGCCAUGUUAAGACACCAACUGAGUUUCCACUUGGAGGCUUGGAGGAAAGAUUACCAUUAAAACGUGACUUCCAUCCACUCAGCUGAAAUUACUAUUGAUUGCCAAAGAAAAAUAUUUGUGCUGUGAAGCUGGGAGCUAUGAUGUUGAACCGUAUUAACAUAAUGUUAGCAUAGCUACGGGUGUUUAGUAGCACGCAAUCAGAUUUGAAAUGAACGUUGAUUAUAGAUGGAGAUUAAUGUUCACAUAUUCAUAGGAACACAAUGAGAAGAGCAAUUUCUUUUCUACUACAGAUCAAUGGUUUCCCCAUUCAAUUAUACAGCUGUAAUAAUUGCAUUAUGCUGAAAUAUUUUUAAUGGCUAAUUUCUUUCCUUUUGUGUGUGUGUGUAUGAGAUCUUUUGUCAGUGAUAGCUUCUGCAGCCCGAGGACAGCAUAAGAUGUUUUAAUCACUGGUGUCGUUUUGCAAUCUUUGACCAAGCCAGUAAUUUCCCCCUUCUCCCCUUCUUUGCUAUCCUCUCUUAUUAUCAUCCAGAAUCACUUCCUGGUUGAUUGAAACAGAGGGACUUGCCUCAAGUCUUUUUUUUUUUUUUUUUUAACAUCUUUAUUAGAGUAUAAUUGCUUUACAAUGGUGUGUUAGUUUCUGCUUUAUAACAAAGUGAAUCAGUUAUACAUAUACAUAUAUCCCCAUAUCUCUUCCCUCUUGC